rnacentral:rRNA from 1 species
AUUGAACGCUGGCGGCAGGCCUAACACAUGCAAGUCGAACGAGUGGCGGACGGGUGAGUAAUGUCUGGGAAACUGCCUGAUGGAGGGGGAUAACUACUGGAAACGGUAGCUAAUACCGCAUACCAUCGGAUGUGCCCAGAUGGGAUUAGCUAGUUGGUGGGGUAACGGCUCACCAAGGCGACGAUCCCUAGCUGGGCGGAGAGGAUGACCAGCCACACUGGAACGGAGAGACGGUCCAGACUACUAAGGGAGGGAGCAGUGGGGAAUAUUGCACAAUGGGCGAAAGCCUGAUAGAGCCAUGCCGCGUGGAUGAAGAAGGUCGUCGGGUUGUAAAGUACUUUCAGCGGGGAGGCGUUACCCGCAGAAGAAGCACCGGCUAACUCCGUGCCAGCAGCCGCGGUAAUAC